rnacentral:lncRNA from 1 species
AUGGCGCCAAUCUACAGCCGCUAUAGCUACAGAUUCACUAAUGCAAUGCAAUCGCAAUGCCACAGAAUAGGUAGCAAUGCCACAGAAUGAGUAUAUUACUGUAUAAGUAUGUAUACUGUGGCAAUGCAAUGCAAUCGCAGUAAAAGUUGGUUAGAAUCUUAGAAUUAUAUUGUUGGAUCAUGUCGAGUCGCUUGACUUUUUAAAGGUUUUAUUCUUUGAACCGUAACGUCUUUAGUUGUUUGUAUUUACUUGACAUGUUCAUUUUUCUAUUGUGGGUAUUGUAUUUAGAGUAUUAAUGAUAAUCAAAGAGAAUAAUAUUAUUACUGCAUAUAAACAUACCGCUGUUUUCUGUUAUUACUACAAUACUCGUACUGUAGUAAUUUGUUGGCACCAUUUGACAACAAAAUGAAAAUAUGAUAUUUACCAGAUUCGACUAGGCCUAUUACAAUUAACUCCAUCGUUACAGACUGAAGAUAUGCACUAUGAGACAAGCGGAAGAGAAAGAAAAAGUAUUUCUUUUGAGGCGGAACCAAUUUUGAGUGUACACAGAAUAUCUACGGAAGAAGAUGGAAAAAUUGCAAAGAAGAAAUACAAGGCUGGUAAAUAGGAUUCAUAAAACACUCACACAAAGGGAAUCAGAAAUAUCGACUGAGCAGUUUAUUAAAACAUAUGGAAGAUUCGUAGCAAAAAUUUAAGUGAGAUAGUAGAAAUCGAACUGGAAUCAUAAUUCAUCAAUUCAAGGGGGAUGAGAUACCGUAUAGCAAAAAUUUUAAAAUAAUGACUCUGACUUAGUUUGUGUUUUUUCAAGCAGCAAAGCAUAUAGAUUUAUGAAAAAUGUUUUAAAAAUGGGAACAACAAGGACCCAAGUAUAAAUGAUGGAGAAAUGGGAAUAUGCCCCAGGUAUUAAUGAUACCCUGGUAUUCAUUUUUUUCUUGAAAAAAUAUUUCAAGUUUGAAAUUGAGGAUAAGUGAUAUAAACGAGGUAGAGAAUCAUUGUGUAUUAAGCUCUGAUGAAAUGACAUUGAAAUAGUCUCUUUUUUAAUGUAUUUCUGAGAAAUUGUCGGGUUUCAUUACACUGGGAGAGGAAAACAAAUGAAGCCUGCUACUUCAGUUCUAGUAUUUAUGAUAAGAAGUAUUCAUGGAGAGUAUUCAUGGAAGCAGCCAAUUAGUUAUGAUUUCGCACUCAUUACAAAAUAAUCUCCUGCAAUAUAACUUCAGGAAUUCCUAAACCUCAAAUGUACUAGCUUCUUUGUGUCAUACACAACAGUUUUAUGUAAAAAGUAAGAAACAGUAUCUUAGAUUAGCAAGGAAAUUAACAGAAGCACUCAUUAAUCCUAAUGGUUUUUAGAAAAUUAGAGUGACUUUGGCAGUGCAAGUUUCAGUCACACUGUAGCAAGUGUUUACACUCAUGUAAGUCUAGGAUCCUUGAACACUACUGCAAUGGCCACUGCCAAGUUCAUUGAAACUUGCAAAAAUGUUUUUAUUUAUUCAUGCAAAACUCCAGAAAAAGUGGCUAGCAAAUAUGAUAUAUGGAAAGGAACAAAUGGAGUUGAUUCGAAAAUUCACAACGUAAUUGAAGGUACCUAUUAAUAGGGAGGUAGAAAGUGUUACUGCCACUAUGAAGUGCUUCAAAGGCUUGCAAACAACCAUCGCAGCUUUUAUAAAAUUUUGGGAAAGUUCGAAAAACGUUUUCAUUCAUAAAGAAGCUACAAGUUGUUUCAACCAAGAUUGUACAGAAAACGUCUUUGGAUCCAUCCGACAACAAGAAGGCAACGGGACUAAUGAAAUGGACGAGUCGGUGUGGCUUCCUCCUCACUUCACCUAGAUUCGGAGUACCAGCACAUAAUCUUUGACAAGAGUGCUGUGUGCUGGUGUGUUCAGAGUACUGGAGUCUUCGUCAGAAGACGAAUAUUCGAGUUGGAAUAUCCAUCAGAUCAUUCGUUCCGGAAAGCAUAGAAGAGAUGAAGACUAGCAAUACAAGGAUUGAUUAUCAUCUUGAAGGAUUUCCAUUGAAGAAAACUGACCUGAGCUAACGUGACAUUAAUUGAAUAUCUGCUUCUAGAGCUUCUGUAAGUGCUUCAAUGUUUAGUAAUUAGUUUCAAGUUCAUGAGACCACAACUUUGUCGAUGAGGAAUUGAUAUAGAGGAUAGAUAAAUUGGAGAUAUUGAUUGAUGCUCUGAUAAAAAUUAUUGUUAAGAUGUUAAGAAAAAUUGUUAAGAUGAUGAUAUGUAACUUUGUUAAGAAAAUAGUUAUUGAUGUAGAUUGAAUAUGUAGGUACAUUAUUUUACAAAUUACUUGGACCUUCAGUCAUAGCCUACUUAAUUUUUCAAAAUCGAUUAUAUUUUUCAAAAUUCUAACCAAUUUAUGGUUCAAAUUCGUCCUCAAUCCUAGAGUUCCUGCCCUAUUGCAUCAUUACUACAUUCUCUCUUCAAUCAAACACUCUCAUUUUUAAAUAUGUUUCUAUUCUGACUGAUACAGAGACUAGAUUAAUUUUUUCAAUUGUCUUUGACAAAAUAAAGCCUUCAUCAAUAAUAGUCCUAGAAUCUGAACUUUAACCUUUUUGUUGCUCAAGACGACUCUCGUCGAUUCGGUCUCUUUCCUUUUCUGUGCAUAAUUGAAUUAUAUCCAUUUGCUCAGAUUUCACAAUUAGAAACAGAACACUUUUCACCUAUUUACUCCUACCCAUAUUAAAUGAGCCUGUUAAAAGCAAAGUGGUGUAAGUCACAUCGGCUGCAUUCUGAGAUAUUAAGGUCCAAAGUUCGACCCCUUUCAUAAAUUAAUGAAUGCAUUUAUCCAUUUUUCAAUUGAAAAAACCAAUAAUGAGGGAGUGGAUUAAAAUAUAGAGCUAUUUUGAAAGCAAUUUUAAUGAAUUUUCAUAGUUUUAUCAAGUUUAGAAAUGUUUAAAGGACUUACACCACUUUUCCAUUAAACAUAAUAUGCAAUCAGGAUAUUAAUUGUUAACUAUUAAUAUGAAAAUCAUGAUGAAGUAUGUAUUUAAUUAAUAAGAUUCAAGAAAAAUUAUAAGAUAUUAUUGUUAUCAUGAUUAUUUAUGUAAUUUUCACUUCAAUCGGAAUCUGAAAGCUGUUCGUCAAUGGCUUCAGGUAGAGGUCCCAUGUCUUCUCCGGUCUCAGAUGUUUGGAGGUUUAGAAAUAAUUCUUGACUGAUUGGGGGUUGUACGGCAAAAGAUCCAUCAUGUCCUUUUUCUUAGCUUCAGUCACAGGACGCACUCCACUGUACAGUUUAUCCAUUGAUAUUGAGGGAAGAGAUACUCGCCGUCCACGUUGUUUGGUUGGUGUGAUGUCAAUUUGUGAAAAAGGCAUGUCUUCUGAGAGAGUCUCCUUGAAGAAAACUGUGAAAGGCUCACUCUUCCUAUACUGCAACCACUGUAUCUUGAGCCAGUUCACGGGAAAUCCAUCUGUUGAACACUUCCUUCUUGUCACUCUACUCUCCAAGCUUUUUGUUGACAAAAAGUCAUCACCAGUCAUUACACUUAGAUGAAAUGGAUUUUUUUUCUGGCCUGGACAAUGAUUUCAUACCAAUCUCUGGGGCAGAAAAUUUGUCUUGUUUUACUGUGAUUCUCAAUACUGGCAAAAUCACAGUCACUAGGCAGGAACGAGUGUCCACUUUGCAUGAACUUUUGAUCAAUCACUUCAACCUCUCCACUACUUGCACUCUGAAUAAAUCUCAUCAAUGUCAGUGCCAUUUGAAUUUUCUGUUCUGACCUGUACAGCUGUCACUGUACAUAACAACCUGCUUGGCUGAAGAUGCUCUAGUUUGUAUGUGUUUUACAACACAAGCAGCAAUUUCCUGAGAACCACGAGAUCCAACAGUCUCAUCCCAGCAAUACAUAAAACCAAGCUUUGUUGAAAGCUCAUGACAACCAAGGUUGUACAAAUAGCAGUUCCGCUUGUAGUAAGCAACUUGACAUGUAAGUUUAGGAAAUGCUAGGGACUUUUCAGGAUCAAAAGUAAAAGAAUAGAAAGAAUUGUCUAAUUUUGAUCUCUCAGUGUCAGCCAACAUGUUUUUCCUAGCACUCUCUGCUUUCCUCAAAUAAAGUUCAUGUUGCAUGUCAAGUGCUCUUUUCUGUUCCUCAUCAACUAUGAAGUCAACCUUGUUUUUAUAGAUAUCACACUCUGUACAAGUGUCCUUAUGUGGUGCAUGAAAUGGAGAAUGAACUCGGUAUUGAAUGUUCGCCGAUAGAUUGGCUCCUUGACUGGGUUCAAUUUUUUUUCAAUACAAUAACUUUUGUAUAGGUUGUACAUCAAACGAAUAUUCAAAUUUUCUGACAGAAAUUUCCUAUUUGGGUUAUAUGCACUUGUGUAAUGCGAUUCAUAUAACUCGUCCAUAUAACUCAUCUUAACUUCAAACUUGAAAAUAUGAAAUCAUUAAUACCUGGGGCUUUUUCCCAUUUCUCCGUCAAUUAUCCUUAUGUCCUUCAAAUCUUGAUUUAUGAAUUUCAUUUAUUUAUUUAGCGUAUGGCAGCAUAUAUACGCAACAUGAAUCGUUUAUGAAUUAUUUAUGAAAAUCAAUAAAUAAAAUAGUCGUAUUCUUAUGAAGAGCUUCAAAAGAUACACCUUUGGAAAGUUUACACAAUGAUGAGUGUAAGGAAUUUCUUUCAAAAGAUAUGGUAGUUUCAUCCCUACAUUUUUAUAAAGGGCAUGGAUUGAAAUAUUUGAAAUGAAUCUUCUCUCUAGAUCACCUAUAAAUUCAAUGAAUUCGGAGUCCGAACUCUUCAAAUUCCCAUAAAAUCCACUCUUGCUAUCGUCUUUGCUUUGAAAUGUGCGUAUAUAGAUGUCAAAUUGAAAGAAUCUGCUCCUCCUGUAGAAUAUUUGUUACAUAUUUCACAUUCUUGAAUAACAAAAAUUUUUCCAGCAAAUAUCCACAAACAUUUUGCAGCGCAUUUUGUUUUGGCAAAUCUAAUGACCGGUAACCUGAGAAGUUGGAGUCAAAUUUCUCCAAACAAUGAUUUCUCUGUAACUUUUUCAGGUGUAUUGAACAAAUAUCUUCGUUUUGGGACAUUUUUGUCAGAAGGAUGUCAAUGUCAUUUGCACAAUUUUUGAUUCAUUGUGUUGAGAAUACUACAAAAAUGCUACUUUUUCAAAUGAUCUAAUAAAAUGAAUUGAAGUUGGA